UUAACUCAAAUUUGUAGAGUUGGAACGUUCGGCUACGUUUGCCGCUAGGGGCGCUGUUCCAACUGCAUACAAAUUUAAGUUA
rnacentral:pre_miRNA from 1 species